rnacentral:rRNA from 1 species
UUUCCAGACUCCUACGGGAGGCAGCAGUGAGGAAUAUUGGUCAAUGGGCGCGAGCCUGAACCAGCCAAGUCGCGUGAGGGAAGACGGUCCUAUGGAUUGUAAACCUCUUUUGUCGGGGAGCAAAAGACGCCACGCGUGGCGUUCCGAGAGUACCCGAAGAAAAAGCAUCGGCUAACUCCGUGCCAGCAGCCGCGGUAAUACGGAGGAUGCGAGCGUUAUCCGGAUUUAUUGGGUUUAAAGGGAGCGUAGAUGGGUUGUUAAGUCAGUUGUGAAAGUUUGCGGCUCGACCGUAAAAUUGCAAUUGAUACUGGCAGUCUUGAGUACAGGUGAGGUAGGCGGAAUUCGUGGUGUAGCGGUGAAAUGCUUAGAUAUCACGAAGAACUCCGAUUGCGAAGGCAGCUUACUAAACUGCCACUGACAUUGAUGCUCGAAAGUGUGGGUAUCAAACAGGAUUAGAUCCCCGCGUA